rnacentral:rRNA from 1 species
GACGAACGCUGGCGGCGUGCUUAACACAUGCAAGUCGAACGGUAAGGCCCCAGCUUGCUGGGGUACACGAGUGGCGAACGGGUGAGUAACACGUGGGUGACCUGCCCCGCACUUCGGGAUAAGCCUGGGAAACUGGGUCUAAUACCGGAUAGGACCGCACCGUGAGGGUGUGGUGGAAAGUUUUUCGGUGUGGGAUGGGCCCGCGGCCUAUCAGCUUGUUGGUGGGGUAAUGGCCUACCAAGGCGGCGACGGGUAGCCGGUCUGAGAGGGUGGACGGCCACAUUGGGACUGAGACACGGCCCAGACUCCUACGGGAGGCAGCAGUGGGGAAUAUUGCACAAUGGGCGGAAGCCUGAUGCAGCGACGCCGCGUGGGGGAUGACGGCCUUCGGGUUGUAAACUCCUUUCACCAUCGACGAAGGUUUUCUGACGGUAGAUGGAGAAGAAGCACCGGCUAACUACGUG